GAAAACAGGGGAAACAAUUGCUUUGGGUUUCCAGCACUACAUUUUGGCCUUGGGAACCGCUGUGAUGAUCCCCACAUUCCGUGUUCCUUUGAUGGGUGGUGAUGAUGUGAGUUGAUUUUGUAUACCACUUUCAUUCAAUUCUUAUAUCGUUGUGGCCUUUGUUCAAUUGGAGACUAAAUUCAAGUAAAUUUUGUGUAUUAUUAUGCUAAUUUCUUAAAAAAGAAUUAAGCGUCAGUUUCGCAUAGCAAAAAUGGUCAAGAUUGAUUUUUUUUUUUAAUGUUUGUGUAUUUUAUAUGGACUGAUAUGGAUGAUGAAUGUGCUCCUUAUUUGACUUAAUUGAUUAGGGUGACAAAGUGGGAAUAGUGCAGACUCUGCUUUUUAUUCAAGGAAUCAGCACACUUCUACAAACAUUAUUUUGAACCCGAUUACCAACCGUAAUUGGAGGGUUUACACAUUCGUGGUCCGAAUAAUAUCCAUAAUUCAUGAUUCACGGUUGAUGAAGAUUGAGGACAAUCAUGCGAAAUUGGCCAAAAGAAUCCUGAUAUAUAUAUUUUACUAAUAAAGAAGGGAAACGCAACACUGAAUGUCUCACUUGGGGAAUUGAUAAAGAGCGGGUUUUAAGAGGCCGCACUGCUGUUGAGUGAAAAAUUAAAGAUAUUGGAUUGGGGGGAGGAUAGCUGAAACUGCUGCUCUUCGGGCGUCGUUUCAGCAAGAGGUUGCUGUUUGGCAUAAGCUUGACCACCCAAAUAUCCCAGAGGUAUAAUUAAUAUAUAUUGGUUCUUCAUCUCAGUGUGCAUAAAGUCAAAAUAGCUUCAGAUGAAAACUUUGAUACCGUUUGUGGAAUUGAUAUCAAAGGCAGAUUGUAAAACUGAUAUCAAAGCCAAUAGUAAGUGUCUGGGGGCUUCUUGGUAUGAUAGUUAUGUCUGUUCUGUGUUUGUUUUAUUUCCGUCUGUUCUUAGAGCGUACUCCUUAUCCUUUGAUAUGUAAUUUGUGUUAGCUUAAAUGAAAGGUAUGUCUCUUCUCAAAAAUGAUGAAUCCAACAUGUUACUCUAUGGUCUUUAAAUCCCACGGUGUGUUCGAAGUGCUGGAUGGGUUGUGCUUUUACAAACCCUAAUAAAAUUAUAUUUGAAUCAUGUUGUCUGAUAACUCUGUUUUUCCUUUUUUCCUGUUUGUGGUUUUUAGUCUGUCAUUUAAUUGGUGUAGUUUUGCUAGGAUCUCUGUUCCAACAGUGUGUGAUUAGUGCUAAUGGAAUUUCAGCACUGUUUCUGAGCUGUUGUUCGAAUUAUUGUAUUAUACAUUCAAUUGAGCCAAUGAAGCAUGUGUGCCAACGAAUUUUUAAGAGUUCGGCUUCGUUUUCUCCUUUGGUCUUUAAUAUUUAAGUGUGAGGCACCUGGUUGUUGACUAAUUGAGUCCCUUCUCUAAGUUUUUUAGUAGAUAUUGUGUAAUUUGCUUUUAUGAGCAUUUCUUUAAGCUGUCAAGUUCCCAAAAUGUACAAGGAGAUAUCAAGUUUAACAAGUCACGAACUGUGAUCAAUCCAAAUGCAGUGAAAUUAGAGAUUUUACACUUAAAAACUCAGUUAGCUUUAGACCAUAGGAUUAGCAUUUUGCACAUGUGAGUAUCAUUGACCUGCUCAUUUUAUUUUUCUAGGUAAGAAACAAACUGUCAUUGAAGGGAGAAGAAAGUGUACAAAAACAAAGUUUCUGUAAGCUUGCAUUUAUAUGCCUAAUAUUUUAAUUCCUUUUCUUGGCAUUACCUAUUGAAAUGGUUGCCUACACUACAGGACACAUUUGUGUGAACUACAUGUUUCUUCUGUUUCUUAAGGAAACAGAACUUUUUUGGAAACCAUAUCUUUCUAAUCAAAGACGUUCAGUUUCUUCCCACUCAUUGUACAAUGUGUUUGUAUGCUAGCUCACUUGAAUGUAUAUAAAAGCAAAAUUGCUUAUCUUAUCGACCUCAUUCACUCAUGUAUCAUUUCAUAAUUGUGUUGAAUUUAUUCAAUUUAAAUGUGUUUAUAUGCAUUUUUUAGUUAAACUACUAUAUUUUUGUUCAAUUGACUGCAACUCAUGCUGCAGUUUGCUUCACAAACCUCUACGGUUAGCUUCCAUACAAUACGUUGCAAGUUUGAGGAUAUAUCUACAUCUUAAUUUCUGCUCUCUGGUUGCUUCAAGUUUGUAAUUUUACGUGCUACACUGCCGUUUGAUUUGAUUAUAAAAAUGUAAAACAAAAUUUGUCCAUGAUUUACAAAUUUUUAUUCAAUUUUUGAUGUUUUCCAGUGUAAGGCAUAUGUUGCACAAGUGAGGUACGUAGACUGCAGGGCAUAUAUUUUGCCGUCGUAACUGCAAGGGCAAAAUAUGUGUAAACUGCAGCUUGCAUCUGUUUCUUCAGUUUUGUAUGUAAACAAACCUUCUGCUUAUAUUUGCCUUUGAAAGGUUGUGGUUACAAAAUUAGCUACUUGAACAAGUCCUCAACACUUUCUAUUUUUAAUUACCUGUUGAAAUGGCUGUCUACACUGCAUGACACAUGUUAUAUAUGUGAACUAAAUGUUUCUUCUGUUUCUUAAGGAAACAGAACUUUUUUGGAAACCAUCUCUUUCUAAUCAAAGACGUUCAAUUUCUUCCCACUCAUUGUACAAUGUGUUUAUAUGUCAACUCACUUGAAUGUAUAUAAAAGCAAAAUUGCUUAUUUUAUCGAUCUCAUUCACUUAUGUAUUCCUUUGUUUGUUCAUAAUUGUGUUGAAUUUAUUCAA